rnacentral:rRNA from 2 species
UUGACCUCGAAUCAGGUAGGAAUACCCGCUGAACUUAAGCAUAUCAAUAAGCGGAGGAAAAGAAACCAACAGGGAUUGCCCCAGUAACGGCGAGUGAAGCGGCAACAGCUCAAAUUUGAAAUCUGGCCCUAGGCCCGAGUUGUAAUUUGUAGAGGAUGCUUUUGGCGACGUGCCUUCCGAGUUCCCUGGAACGGGACGCCAUAGAGGGUGAGAGCCCCGUACGGUCGUGCACCUAGCCUUUGUAAAGCUCCUUCGACGAGUCGAGUAGUUUGGGAAUGCUGCUCUAAAUGGGAGGUAUACGUCUUCUAAAGCUAAAUACCGGCCAGAGACCGAUAGCGCACAAGUAGAGUGAUCGAAAGAUGAAAAGCACUUUGAAAAGAGGGUUAAAUAGUACGUGAAAUUGCUAAAAGGGAAGCACUUAUGACCAGACUUGGGCCCGGUUAAUCAUCCAGCGUUCUCGCUGGUGCACUUGGCCGGCCCAGGCCAGCAUCAGUUCGCGUCGGGGGAUAAAGGUUUCGGGAAUGUGGCUCCUCCGGGAGUGUUAUAGCCCGUUGCGUAAUACCCUGGUGCGGACUGAGGU